AGUGAACGCUGGCGGUAGGCCUAACACAUGCAAGUCGAACGGCAGCACAGUAAGAGCUUGCUCUUACGGGUGGCGAGUGGCGGACGGGUGAGGAAUACAUCGGAAUCUACUUUUUCGUGGGGGAUAACGUAGGGAAACUUACGCUAAUACCGCAUACGACCUACGGGUGAAAGCAGGGGAUCUUCGGACCUUGCGCGAUUGAAUGAGCCGAUGUCGGAUUAGCUAGUUGACGGGGUAAAGGCCCACCAAGGCGACGAUCCGUGGCUGGUCUGAGAGGAUGAUCAGCCACACUGGAACUGAGACACGGUCCAGACUCCUACGGGAGGCAGCAGUGGGGAAUAUUGGACAAUGGGCGCAAGCCUGAUCCAGCCAUACCGCGUGGGUGAAGAAGGCCUUCGGGUUGUAAAGCCCUUUUGUUGGGAAAGAAAAGCAGCAGGUUAAUACCCCGCUGUUCUGACGGUACCCAAAGAAUAAGCACCGGCUAACUUCGUG
rnacentral:rRNA from 1 species